AUGGAUACAAGGUCUUGUUUUAUUUUAAUCUGUAUUGGUUUUAGUAUAAGCUGCUUUAAUGUAAGCUGCUUUGAUCCUAGUAUUGACAGAAAGUUAAGAAAUGAUAUAUUAAUAUGCACUAUGAGUGUAUUAAUAAAUAAUAAUGUAUUAAUAAUAAUUGCAAUGCUGUCUGUUUUCAUAGGUCUGAUAAUGGUAAGCCUUUAUUUUACAACCAAGCGCUCCUUUGCAACUGGGAUUGUGAUGGCCGGUGGGGCUGCAGGAACAUUUGUGCAGAAUAAGCUUCAUGAAUAUUUAAUUGAGACCCUUGGAUGGAGGGUUAGCCUACGUGUAUACAGUGGAAUUAUGACAAUAUGUAUUUUUGCUGGUUUUGCCUACAAACCACUUCAAAAACAUAGAGCUCAUCCAAGUGUUGUUGAGAAGUUUAAAACGUCCCCACUAAGAGGUUUUAUUGUGGAUUUAAGUUUAUGGAAAGACCGCAUCUUUGAGGUUUGGGUCCUUUCUCUUGGAUUAGCAAAAUUUGGAUUCUUCAUACCUUUUGUGCAUAUGGUAAGACCCCUAUCUGUGCAUUUUGGUUUUCUAUAGUAUCCCAUACAUGUUUCAAUAUAUAUAUAUAUAUAUAUAUAUAUAUAUAUAUAUAUAUAUGAGAAUGAAAGUGGGUUUUUUGUGAUAUCACUGUUCUUGUUCCCUCGGCCCCUUGGGGUCUCUGAACAAGUCUGACAAACAGAAAGGGGAAAAAAUUAGAUCUGGCUACAAGGAUACAUGCUAUUAUGAAGAUUUGAUUACAAGUCUCAGUUAAUGAAGAAGGUGUGUUCUCAGCCUUUUCUUAUUAACAGAAAAUUUGGUAUCAGGAGCAGAAAAAACACAAAAGGGUAAGAAUUGGUUCUUAUGCAGAAAGAAGAAAGAAAGAAAGAAAGAAAGAAAGAAAGAAAGAAAGAAAGCAAGCAAGCAAGCAAGCUUUUUAUUGAAAACUAACAGACAACAAUCAAUAGGCAGCAAAGGAAGAAGAGGACAUUUGUGUCAACACAACACUCGUAUGAUUCUGGUAGCGCCUCAGUUAUAACAUACUAGUGCUUCGUAGUGUACAUUGAAACACCAUCUGACUCUCAAAACAUAAAAAUUUUAAAAUGUUUAAUUACAUUGUUAGCUGAAUUGUAAUCAGCACUAUUAUGAUAAACACUUUUUGAGAAAUGCAGAGAAAUAUAAAAUAUCAAUAUGUGAAUAUAAAUCUAAAAACACUUAUUUUACAGAUAAAUCUUGCAGGUCACUUGGGUAUUCCAUUGCAUCAAGCAUCUUAUAUUAUGGUAGGAAUUGGAGUAAGCAGCAUGGUUAGUUGUCUUCUUUUUGGAAAGAUAUGUGAUAUGGAAAAAAUUGACCGACUUUAUCUGAAUCAGGCAUCCAUAUUAUCUGUAGGUAAGUGUGUCCCAGAAAAUGAAUAUCUCUUUAUAAACAGAAAACAUUUAAUGUAAUAUAAUAAUACUAGACAAGCUAGGACAAACUGUCUUUUAGAUCAAGAACCCAUCUACACUGCCAUAUAAUGCGCUGACCAUAUAAUGCAGUUUCAAACUGCAUUAUAUGGCAGUGUAAAUGGGGGUUAUAGAUUGUCAGCACAAUUUAGUUUAAACUUGGAAAUGGUAAAAGAAAUUAUAUUUCCUCGCAUUGAUCCAUCUAGACAGAAAAUCAUAGUCUCAUAGAAUAAUAGAGUUGGAAGAGACCUCAUGGGCUAUGUAGUCCAACCCCCUGCCAUGCAGGAAAAGCACAAAGUACCCCUGACAGAUGACCAUCCAGCCUCUGUUGUCUGCAUGCAUUUGCUUACUUGUGUGAGAAAUGGAAAUUCUGUAUUCUGGUCUACGUAGUUAUAGACAUGAUAAGCCAGGCUGUAGC
ensembl:lncRNA